GACAGAGGGUGCAAACGUUGUUCGGAUUUACUGGGCGUAAGGCGCGUGUAGGCGGCUUUGCAAGUCGGAUGUGAAAUCCCACGGCUCAACCGUGGAAGUGCAUCCGAAACUGCAUCGCUCGAGUCUCGGAGAGGAAGGUGGAAUGCUUGGUGUAGAGGUGAAAUUCGUAGAUAUCAAGCAGAACACCUGCGGCGAAGGCGGCCUUCUGGACGAUGACUGACGCUGAGACGCGAAAGCGUGGGGAGCAAACAGG
rnacentral:rRNA from 1 species